UACUGAGUUUUCUGAGAUCUUAUAAUUCUAGAUCUCAGAGGUGCUAACAUCAAAAAAUUCAAUAGGGUUAACCCCUCUGUGCUUUUUUGAUCUAUAAAGCAGUCUGCAGCCAAGUUGUUGUAGAGGUUAAAUAAAUAUUAUUAGGGCUUAAUUAAUAAAAUGGCAGCAAAUUUGCUUAUUUCAUAACUUCAUAACCAGCGACCUUCUCUCCGACGGGCUGUAUAACUCAGAUCAACUCAGCCCUCCAGGACUGUCAGAAGCAGAAACAGCAACAUUAUACCUGUUGGGGAAAAUAUACUACAUUUGGUUUGCAUUAUCUCCACAUGAUGGGAAUGAUAUAGUAGGAUUCAAUUAGAUUCUUGAUUAAUAUGGAUUGUUGCUAUGUUGUUGAACAGUGUUUUAAGAUGUUGUCCAAUGUGCCCUUUUUAACUUUGAGCCCCUGCCCCUCCAAAAAUCUCUGCAUGGCCCAGCGCCCUCCUAUCCAUUAUCCAGAUCCCUUACAGCCCCCCAUCAAAGAAUUUGUAGGCUACUUUGCACUGAAUAUUAUUUUAUCAUUAAUAUUACUAUCACUGUUGCUGAUGUUUUGAUUAUUAUGGUUGUUUCUUUAGUUAUUGUCAAAAAUCAUUUGCGAAUAGAAAUUAUUUUUACAGGCGUCUUAUUUAUUAUUUUUACAGAAAAAUGCAAUGGACAUUAAACUUAAAAUUGGUAGGCCUAGCACCAGUCAAUCAUAGUGGAAAAAAUAUUCUUGUUCUGUGCCAUUUUCUAGUUGUUAAAUAUUACACAAAAUGACCAGAUAAAAUAUGUACAACAAUACCAAUUUAAACUUUGAACUAUUAGCAAAAAGACAGUUCUGCAACAUUAAAACAUGGAUAGAACUCCAACUAUGUCAAUCGUAACUCUUCUUCUCUACAAUGUUUCUGAGUUUCUGGUGGUGCAGCUCUGUGCUGCCUUCAGGAGAAUGGGACAUCAGAGUAUCAUCCAUAAAAUUUCACCCAGAUGCAGGGGCGCAACUCCAUAUUUUUGAGGUGGAUGCAAACAUAUCUUCGGCGCCCCCCCAUAUAUCGAAUGAUGACUGAGGCCUGCUCUUGCUUUGAAAUAUCAGGUGUGCAGUCCAGUUCCACUGCAAAGUACUUAGAGGACUUGAUCUUGGCAGAUAUUUUACUCAAAACACACUCUGAUAUUGAAUCUAAAAAUUCAUUCUGAGUGCACCAUGUCAGAUAUCCAGUGGUUUUUCACUAUCAAUAGUCUUACCUAGGCGUAAGCGAGAUGCCAUUUCUUUCCACGUCAGAUAAGCAUUUAUGUGAGAACUACUGGUUUCAUGGUGCUUCAGUGUUUUUGAAAGACAUCGCCAGUUAUUAUACCCCUCCACAAGGCAUGUGUCAAGAACUUUAGCUUCACCAAAAAGCUUACAUGCAAAACAAUAGACUCUGUUAGUAUUUUUA